GUUGUCUGUCUUUCUUGGACGUUUCCUCCCUAAACUCGGCGGUCCCUCACGGGACCGCCCUUUUUUUUGCCCGG
rnacentral:sRNA from 1 species